rnacentral:rRNA from 1 species
UACGUAGGGGGCAAGCGUUGUCCGGAUUUAUUGGGCGUAAAGAGCGUGUAGGCGGCCUGGAAGGUCAGCUGUGAAAACUCGAGGCUCAACCUCGAGACGUCGGUUGAAACCACCUGGCUAGAGUCCGGAAGAGGAGUGUGGAAUUCCCGGUGUAGCGGUGAAAAUGCGCAGAUAUCGGGAAGAACACCCGUGGCGAAGGCGGCACUCUGGGACGGUACUGACGCUGAGACGCGAAAGCGUGGGGAGCGAACAGG